CCGAGUUUAUGGUGAGUUGUUGCAGCAAGGAAACUGAUACAGAAGCUGUCGUGGUCUUCACAGGGCAGAGGUGUCUUCCUGUCACUCGCCAAUGUGUCCGGGAGCUGAAAUGGGUCCAGACGUCGCCAAGCAUGCACUUUGGACAGAGCAGGUGCUCAAUCAGUGUCUAUCGAGAGAACAAGAAACCGGAAGUGUACCGUCGUUCUUUUAAUAGACAUGUGCUGAGAAGAAAGGUACCUGGGAACAAUACCAGCAGGAGGAGAAGCUGUAACUGGGUUCUGGCCGGUGCAGGGUGCACAGAAAUGGUGUGCGCCAGUUCCAGACCUGACCCACGAAACCUCCGUGCACGACCCUCCAUUCCCUUUCCCUUCUGCUGGCUGGGUGCAGAUAGGCACGGUGACCUUGGAAAUUGCACCUGGAAGUUGGCAAAGCCACAAGACAGAAAGAGCCUGGGCCCCUGAAUCAUCACAUGGAGGGAAGCCACUUACUAA